rnacentral:rRNA from 1 species
AUGGGUAGUUCUCUUCAACAUAUUGUGUUGUUUGUUGUAUUGCUUCUUGCUAAUACACUCACAACACAAUGCUUUCCUUCCAUUGAAGAGCAAGGAAACUCAACAGUGCCAUGGCCCUCUGAUGUUGCUCCGGAUCUCAUCUUUCCAAAUCAAAAUCUUACCUCAAAUGAAACUUCAAUAAUCACUUAUUACUCAAUUCAUACAUGGUACCCAGAAGGUGGCAAGGAUCACUAUUAUGGUGUGGAGGCCACAAUAGAUGUUUACAACCAUGAUUUACAACUUGGACAAUCAAGUGCAGCAAUGAUUUCAAUUGUAAAUAGAGGAGAUGGAAAACCAUCUUCGCUCAGCGGGAUUCAAUUUGGGUGGCAUAUUUUCCCAUGGCUGUACAAGGAUUCACACACUCAUUUCUACACGUCUUGGAUUAGUGGUGGAUCUUCUAGCAAGGGUUGUUGGAACAUGAAAUGCCCUGGCUAUCACAAGACAUCAUCGAGGAUAGCUCCAGGCCAGGUCAUCAGUCCACUUUCACGUAUCAAUGGCAACAAAUCAUAUAUCACACUAAGAAUAUUCAAGGAACAAUCUUCAGGUGAUUGGCAGAUCCAUGUGGGAGCUAAUAGUGGGCAUCCAAAACCCGUGGGUUACUUCCCUAAAUCCUUGAUUACAGGACUCAUAGAUAAACCCGUGGAGAUAAGCUUCGGUGGCUAUGUCAAGCAUAGGAAAUCACGACCAAGUCCUCCAACGGGAAGUGGCUAUGUUUUCGAAACCGGCAGGGCUGCAUCCUUCGGUAUACUCAAGCUUAUCGAUGCACAGGGUAUUGAUCAUAACAUCGUUGCAGAUCUUCCAUCUUCUACUGAUGGAAAAGGUUGCUAUACUCCUUCAAAAAUAAAGUGGGCACAGUUCUUUUAUGGGGGGCCUAGUUGUGCUGAUUAA